rnacentral:lncRNA from 1 species
UUAUAUUAUGUGGGUUCACUAUUGGUUCAAUCUGUAGGAGAUAGUCUUGUAUUUUAAAACCAUCUAUUGAUGUAAAAACUACGGCUUGAUCUCUGUUGGGUAGUAGAUUCGAGUUCUGGGCUAACGCCGCUGAAUACGAUUUAGUAGGGUUAUUGACGUUCUGUGACAUGUUAAAUAUUAUGAAGUAGGUAAAUUAAAUAGGUACUCACUAAAUUUGUUAUCAUCCAAUGAUAACAAAAUCUAUCAUCACCCAAUAAUUAAUAGAUGUGUUGUUUUGCACUUCACUAACAAAAACUUGUGAAAUUAAAAAGCAAUUAUAAACUAAUGGUUAUCUACGAUAACGACUUUACUGUCCGAACGUUCGAACGAGACUC